UAAUUAGAAAGCGAAAAUUUGCAUUUAGUUUCGACCUAACUCUUGGAAACCCCUCUAAUU
rnacentral:tRNA from 1 species